ACACACACACACACACACACACACACACACAUACACACACACACACACACACACACACACACACACACACACACACACACUCCUCCCCCCCUUUCCCUGUGCUCUCCUGUUUUGUGUUGAACAAUCUUUUGUCAUGUGAAAGCUGCACUAUGAUUUGGCCAUGUCUUGUUUUAUCCUUUUGGUGGAUAACAAUUAUUUAAUAAACUUUUUUUAAUUCA